rnacentral:rRNA from 1 species
GACGAACGCUGGCGGCGUGCCUAAUACAUGCAAGUAGAACGCUGAAGGAGGAGCUUGCUUCUCUGGAUGAGUUGCGAACGGGUGAGUAACGCGUAGGUAGCCUGCCUGGUAGCGGGGGAUAACUAUUGGAAACGAUAGCUAAUACCGCAUAACAGUAGAUGUUGCAUGACAUUUGCUUAAAAGGUGCAAUUGCAUCACUACCAGAUGGACCUGCGUUGUAUUAGCUAGUUGGUGAGGUAACAGCUCACCAAGGCAACGAUACAUAGCCGACCUGAGAGGGUGAUCGGCCACACUGGGACUGAGACACGGCCCAGACUCCUACGGGAGGCAGCAGUAGGGAAACUUCGGCAAUGGACGGAAGUCUGACCGAGCAACGCCGCGUGAGUGAAGAAGGUUUUCGGAUCGUAAAGCUCUGUUGUAAGAGAAGAACGAGUGUGAGAGUGGAAAGUUCACACUGUGACGGUAUCUUACCAGAAAGGGACGGCUAACUACGUGC